CGGGACGUAGGAAAGCCUGGCUAAUCCGCCUGCCUUGGGCGCAGGAGAACGCCGGUUCGAAUCCGGCCGUCCCGA
rnacentral:tRNA from 1 species